GGGAAGGUGGCUCAGUGGUAGAGCACUUGCCUUGCAUGCAUGAGGCCCUGGGUUCGAUUCCCCAGCAUCUCA
rfam:Dipodomys ordii contig_5052, whole genome shotgun sequence.